GCCGGGGUGGCGGAAUUGGUAGACGCGCUAGGCUCAGAACCUAGUGUCCGCAAGGACGUGCGGGUUCAAGUCCCGCCCUCGGCACCA
rnacentral:tRNA from 1 species